rnacentral:rRNA from 1 species
CCUACGGGUGGCAGCAGUAGGGAAUCUUCCACAAUGGGCGAUAGCCUGAUGGAGCAACGCCGCGUGGGUGAAGAAGGUCCUCGGAUCGUAAAACCCUGUUGUUAGAGAAGUAAGUGCGUGAGAGUAACUGUUUACGUUUCGACGGUAUGUAACCAGAUAGCCACGGUUAACUACGUGCCAGCAGCUGCGGUAAUACGUAGGUGGCAAGCGUUAUCCGGAUUUAUUGGGCGUAAAGGGAACGCAGGCGGUCUUUUAAGUCUGAUGUGAAAGCUUUCGGCUUAACCGGAGUAGUGCAUUGGAAACUGGGAGCCUUGAGUACAGAAGAGGUGGGUGGAACUCGAGGUGUAGCGGUGAAAUGCGUAGAUAUCUGGAAGAACUCCGAUGGCGAAGGCAGCUCUCUGGUCUGUAACUGACGCUGAGGUUCGAAAGCGUGGGUAGCAAACAGGAUUAGAUACCCUUGUAGUC